rnacentral:rRNA from 1 species
AUUCUGGCUCAGGAUGAACGCUGGCGGCGUGCUUAACACAUGCAAGUCGAACGGGAUCCAUCAGGCUUUGCUUGGUGGUGAGAGUGGCGAACGGGUGAGUAAUGCGUGACCGACCUGCCCCAUACACCGGAAUAGCUCCUGGAAACGGGUGGUAAUGCCGGAUGCUCCGACUCCUCGCAUGGGGUGUCGGGAAAGAUUUCAUCGGUAUGGGAUGGGGUCGCGUCCUAUCAGGUAGUCGGCGGGGUAACGGCCCACCGAGCCUACGACGGGUAGCCGGCCUGAGAGGGCGACCGGCCACAUUGGGACUGAGAUACGGCCCAGACUCCUACGGGAGGCAGCAGUGGGGAAUAUUGCACAAUGGGCGCAAGCCUGAUGCAGCGACGCCGCGUGCGGGAUGACGGCCUUCGGGUUGUAAACCGCUUUUGAUCGGGAGCAAGCCUUCGGGUGAGUGUACCUUUCGAAUAAGCACCGGCUAACUACGUGCCAGCAGCCGCGGUAAUACGUAGGGUGCAAGCGUUAUCCGGAAUUAUUGGGCGUAAAGGGCUCGUAGGCGGUUCGUCGCGUCCGGUGUGAAAGUCCAUCGCUUAACGGUGGAUCUGCGCCGGGUACGGGCGGGCUGGAGUGCGGUAGGGGAGACUGGAAUUCCCGGUGUAACGGUGGAAUGUGUAGAUAUCGGGAAGAACACCGAUGGCGAAGGCAGGUCUCUGGGCCGUCACUGACGCUGAGGAGCGAAAGCGUGGGGAGCGAACAGGAUUAGAUACCCUGGUAGUCCACGCCGUAAACGGUGGACGCUGGAUGUGGGGCACGUUCCACGUGUUCCGUGUCGGAGCUAACGCGUUAAGCGUCCCGCCUGGGGAGUACGGCCGCAAGGCUAAAACUCAAAGAAAUUGACGGGGGCCCGCACAAGCGGCGGAGCAUGCGGAUUAAUUCGAUGCAACGCGAAGAACCUUACCUGGGCUUGACAUGUUCCCGACGACGCCAGAGAUGGCGUUUCCCUUCGGGGCGGGUUCACAGGUGGUGCAUGGUCGUCGUCAGCUCGUGUCGUGAGAUGUUGGGUUAAGUCCCGCAACGAGCGCAACCCUCGCCCCGUGUUGCCAGCACGUUAUGGUGGGAACUCACGGGGGACCGCCGGGGUUAACUCGGAGGAAGGUGGGGAUGACGUCAGAUCAUCAUGCCCCUUACGUCCAGGGCUUCACGCAUGCUACAAUGGCCGGUACAACGGGAUGCGACACGGCGACGUGGAGCGGAUCCCUGAAAACCGGUCUCAGUUCGGAUUGGAGUCUGCAACCCGACUCCAUGAAGGCGGAGUCGCUAGUAAUCGCGGAUCAGCAACGCCGCGGUGAAUGCGUUCCCGGGCCUUGUACACACCGCCCGUCAAGUCAUGAAAGUGGGCAGCACCCGAAGCCGGUGGCCUAACCCCUUGUGGGAUGGAGCCGUCUAAGGUGAGGCUCGUGAUUGGGACUAAGUCGUAACAAGGUAGCCGUACCGGAAGGUGCGGCUG